CAGUGUAGCUAGCUGUUUACCGUGUACUGAUAAGGGUUUAAAGACGACACGUGUUGAUGAAAGUCUGUGUUUUCACAAGUUUGCGUUAACUGGAGCAGGAGUGAUUGGAUUAUAAUUAGUUAAAGAUUAUAAUUAGUCUAUGCAACGAGUCUCACCCAAACCUGAGCAAAGUCGCAACAGUGGGACUGCUUCUACCAACCUCCGCAGCUGAUUGUGAGAGAGAUUCAGCAGUUGAAUGUGUAAAGACCAUUCACCGGUGAGCAUGAAAGUGCUUAAUGCCUUACUCAUGGUGUCCAUGCAGGGACAAAAACUGAAUGACUUUAAUUUCAGUGGUGCAGUAAAGGAAUGGCACAGAGCCAAAGACAGACACUUACCAGUAUAUGAAAACAAAAAUGCCUAUGUGUUGUUAGUGUUAGUACAAAAGAAGUGGAAGGACAUAUGUGUUGUUCGAAAAUACAUAUAAAAGAAGUGGACAUCUGUCAUGUCUGUGUAGUGUAUAUGAUAUAUUGAUGGUUAUAUGAUUAUGUAAAAAUGUAGAAGUAAUGAAA